rnacentral:rRNA from 1 species
AACGAACGCUGGCGGCAUGCCUAACACAUGCAAGUCGAACGAGACCUUCGGGUCUAGUGGCGCACGGGUGCGUAACGCGUGGGAAUCUGCCCUUGGGUUCGGAAUAACAGCGAGAAAUUGCUGCUAAUACCGGAUGAUGACGUAAGUCCAAAGAUUAUCGCCCAAGGAUGAGCCCGCGUAGGAUUAGCUAGUUGGUGAGGUAAAGGCUCACCAAGGCGACGAUCCUUAGCUGGUCUGAGAGGAUGAUCAGCCACACUGGGACUGAGACACGGCCCAGACUCCUACGGGAGGCAGCAGUGGGGGAAUAUUGGACAAUGGGGCGAAAGCCUGAUCCAGCAAUGCCGCGUGAGUGAUGAAGGCCUUA